CACGUAGGGUGCGAGCGUUGUCCGGAAUUAUUGGGCGUAAAAGGAGCUCGUAGGCGGUGUGUCGCGUCGGCCGUGAAAACCUGCAGCUUAACUGUGGGCUUGCGGUCGAUACGGGCAUCACUGGAGUUCGGUAGGGGAGACUGGAAUUCCUGGUGUAGCGGUGAAAUGCGCAGAUAUCAGGAGGAACACCGGUGGCGAAGGCGGGUCUCUGGGCCGAUACUGACGCUGAGGAGCGAAAGCGUGGGAGCGAACAGG
rnacentral:rRNA from 1 species